rnacentral:sRNA from 1 species
UCUGUCUUCAAACGACGUUUUCAGUGCA